AUGGAUUCGAGGGGGAAUGCAAUCCGCGAGUUCAAUCUGCCCCAUGACAGUGCCGCUCCGGCAGGAGCAGCGCGUCCAGAAUACCCGACGGUGGUAGAUGUCGAACUGAAGACAGAAUUGAAGAAGAUGAACAAGAACUUGAAGCAGCUGAUUGAGUUGAAGAAGCAAUCCAAUCUGAUAGCUUUAGGAAUACUUGCUCUAGGAAUUUUUUACUUGAUGGCCAUCUCUCGUUAG
rnacentral:rRNA from 1 species